UUCCGGUUGAUCCUGCCGGAGGCUACCGCUAUUGGAGUUCGAUUAAGCCAUGCGAGUCGAGAGUCUUAGGGACUCGGCGUACCGCUCAGUAACACGUGGGUAACCUGCCCUAUGCUGGGGAAUAACCUCGGGAAACUGAGAAUAAUACCCCAUAGUUCACCACGCCUGGAACGGUGGGUGGAUGAAAGCUCCGGCGGCAUAGGAUGGGCCUGCGACGUAUCAGGUUGUAGGGGGUGUAACGUACCCUCUAGCCAUCAACGCGUACGGGUGUUGGGAGACAUAGCCCGGAGAUGGAUUCUGAGACACGAAUCCAGACCCUACGGGGUGCAGCAGGCGCGAAAACUUGGCAAUGCGAGCAAUCGUGACCAGGGAACUCCAAGUGGCUGGGGUAAUACCCAGUUUUUUCUUGACUCUUCAAAGGUCUUGGAAUAAGGGGUGGGUAAGGACGGUGCCAGCCGCCGCGGUAAUACCGGCGCCUCAAGUGGUAGUCGCUUUUAUUGGGCCUAAAACGUCCGUAGCCGGUCUGGUGCAUUCGUGGGUAAAUCAACCCGCUCAACGGGUUGAAUUCUGCGAGCACGGCCAGACUUGGGACCGGGAGAGGUGUGGGGUACUCUCAGGGUAGGGGUAAAAUCCUGUCAUCCUGAGAGGACCACCUGUUGCGAAGGCGCCACACUAGAACGGAUUCGACGGUCAGGGACGAAACCUAGGGGCACGAACCGGAUUAGAUACCCGGGUAGUCCUAGGUGUAAACGCUGUGGACUUGA
rnacentral:rRNA from 1 species